GACGAACGCUGGCGGCAUGCCUAACACAUGCAAGUCGAACGAGACCUUCGGGGCUAGCGGCGAACGGGUGCGUAACGCGUGGGAAACUGCCCUUAGGUUCGGCAUCACUCCCCGCAAGGGGUGCUAAUAGCGGCUAAUGUCUUCGGACCAAAGAUUUAUCGCCUUUGGAUGGGCACGCGUUGGAUUAGCUUGUUGGUAGGGUAAAAGCCUACCAAGGCGACGAUGCAUAGCUGGUCUGAGAGGAUGACCAGCCACACUGGGACUGAGACACGGCCCAGACUCCUACGGGAGGCAGCAGUGGGGAAUAUUGGACAAUGGGCGAAAGCCUGAUCCAGCAAUGCCGCGUGAGUGAUGAAGGCCGUGGGGUUGUAAUGCUCUUUUAACCGGGAUGAUAAUGACAGUACCGGGAGAAUAAGCUCCGGCUAACUCCGUG
rnacentral:rRNA from 1 species